AACUUUCAACAACGGAUCUCUUGGUUCUGGCAUCGAUGAAGAACGCAGCGAAAUGCGAUAAGUAAUGUGAAUUGCAGAAUUCAGUGAAUCAUCGAAUCUUUGAACGCACAUUGCGCCCUCUGGUAUUCCGGAGGGCAUGCCUGUUCGAGCGUCAU
rnacentral:rRNA from 31 species